rnacentral:misc_RNA from 1 species
UUGUGAUGAGAAUUACAAUGGUGGGGUGAAUCUUCUGACUUACUACAAUGCAGUAGGCACAUCCGAUGCUAACGCUAUUCUGGACUUCCUUCUUUUCUUGCUAUCAGGUGUGCAUCUUGUCCCAUUAACCUUUCCCAGCUUCAGGGGUAAUCUGCUAUCUGAAUCGGGUCCUGGAGGCGAUGAAUCAACAGCAGCAUGAACGGCUUUACCUUUGUUCUUUUCCUUUCUAUUGUUCUGAUGGUGCAUUGGAGAUUCUGCUCUCUUUUUUGUUGAUUGAAACUGCAUUUCCUCCCUAUCGUUGCCAUGCCUAAGGAGCUG